rnacentral:rRNA from 1 species
GAUCGAAAGACCUUGCGCUUAAGGAGCGGCCGAUGUCUGAUUAGCUAGUUGGUGGGGUAAAGGCCUACCAAGGCGACGAUCAGUAGUUGGUCUGAGAGGACGACCAACCACACUGGGACUGAGACACGGCCCAGACUCCUACGGGAGGCAGCAGUGGGGAAUUUUGGACAAUGGGCGCAAGCCUGAUCCAGCCAUGCCGCGUGAGUGAAGAAGGCCUUCGGGUUGUAAAGCUCUUUCAGUUGGGAAGAAACGAUUACAACUAAUAAUUGUAAUUAAUGACGGUACCGACAGAAGAAGCACCGGCUAACUACGUGCCAGCAGCCGCGGUAAUACGUAGGGUGCGAGCGUUAAUCGGAAUUACUGGGCGUAAAGGGUGCGCAGGCGGUUUUGUAAGUCAGAUGUGAAAUCCCCGGGCUUAACCUGGGAAUGGCGUUUGAA